GUAACUUACCCGAGCAUGAUGACUUAGUCUAUGUCUUUCUCGUAAAACAGAAUGAAGGUGGAUCAUACAAGCAGUAAGAAGGGAAGAUAAUAUUUCCUUUAAGAAAUCAAGCAACUUUAAGAAAGGAACCAAGGCCAUACCAUCUUUGAGGGAAACCUGCCGCUUUGCCACAAGAGGCAAGACAGUUUGAAAUGGAUAUGGGAUGUGUAACUAGUACUAAGGUUGGUCAAGAUACAAUUGAACGAAAUGAAGUAGAAAAACUUCCGGCAGCUGAACUAUUUCUGGCUUUCCAAUCAGACUUACAGAAUAGAAGAAUCAUUCCUGCUAAACUGACAGCACAAGAAGAUUAUGUGAGACAAAGAGAUAUGUUGAGCCAACCUUCAACUACCGGUACGUCUUCCAUCCCCAAAUUAGUAGAUGUGACUUUAGUGUACAAGGUACCUUCUAGUUCUAUUGUUCUUGAUCCUUUUGAUAUCAUGACUAGAGAUCAUAAUGUGGUACAAAGGCAAUUCAAUGUUUUUGAUUCCAAUUCGGAUAUGAAAAAUAUAAUACAUGGACUGUCUCAUCAAGAUGGAUGUGCAACAACUAAGAAGUAACCACCAGUAUUUGAUAAGAUUUCAUGACUUGACAUAAUUUUAAUGUAUUCUGCUAAUGACAAAUGUUUACUAUUUACUAUUUGUGUUUUAUUUUUAGUUUGUGAUCUAAUAUUGACUAAAAUUUAAUAAUCUUUUAGAAUAUCAUUAAUGUUUCAAAACCAGGGACUAUGUUUAUUUUAAAGAUAUAUUUCUCUGAAAAUCUGAACCAUAAAUAUGCUACUAUCUUGAGUAACAUAUCUAAACUAACAAAAGAAUUUCUUUUUUUGGUCAUAAA